rnacentral:rRNA from 1 species
CCUACGGGGGCAGCAGUGGGGAAUUUUGGACAAUGGGGGCAACCCUGAUCCAGCCAUGCCGCGUGAGUGAAGAAGGCCUUCGGGUUGUAAAGCUCUUUCGGCUGGGAAGAAAUCGCAUCUCCUAAUACGGGGUGUGGAUGACGGUACCAGCAUAAGAAGCACCGGCUAACUACGUGCCAGCAGCCGCGGUAAUACGUAGGGUGCGAGCGUUAAUCGGAAUUUCUGGGCGUAAAGCGUGCGCAGGCGGGUUAAAUCCCCGGGCUCAACCUGGGAACUGCCGUUGUGACUGCGAGGCUAGAGUAUGGCAGAGGGGGGUGGAAUUCCACGUGUAGCAGUGAAAUGCGUAGAGAUGUGGAGGAACACCGAUGGCGAAGGCAGCCCCCUGGGCCAAUACUGACGCUCAUGCACGAAAGCGUGGGGAGCAAACAGGAUUAGAUACCCUAGUAGUC